ACAGAUUUACCAGUCCUAGCUAGGGGGCUCCCAGCACUUUCUACAGCAUGGGUUAGCUAUUCAGGGGGAAAGGCUGCAUGGUCCUUCAGAAAUGCAAACUGUACUCAACUAGACAUGGAAAAAGUGCCUGCCAUUUCCCUGAGGAAGCCUGUCAGCAGUCUGGAGACUAAAGGAAGAAAAUCAUUGCAGACAUGGAUGAAGACAAGAGCAUGGAAACUCUCACGUGCAAUGUGCUGUUCCUGAGAGAGGAUGGUGAGAUACUGUGGAGCUGAGAGAAGUUACUACAGGGAAAGCAUGAAACACAUUUCUCACCAGUACCAAAUACACAUUAGUGAUGGUGUAUACACAUGUUUGGUUCCUUCCUAUAGGAAACCCUAUACUAAGUGUAACAGAUGGGAUCAAUACCUCACAGGUUUGCUCUUUCUUCCCAACCAGCUGUAGUCCUUCCAUCAUUCAGUCGUGUGCUGUGUAUGAUGUGUAUAAGGGGAUAUAUGAUUCUCACUCUAUAUGUAAUGCUGUAUAACAUUUGUCUUUAAUAAAAUGUUUCAGUAAAAUUA